UACGUAGGGCGCAAGCGUUGUCCGGAAUUAUUGGGCGUAAAGAGCUCGUAGGCGGCUUGUCACGUCGGGUGUGAAAGCCCGGGGCUUAACCCCGGGUCUGCAUUCGAUACGGGCUAGCUAGAGUGUGGUAGGGGAGAUCGGAAUUCCUGGUGUAGCGGUGAAAUGCGCAGAUAUCGGGAGGAACACCUGUGGCGAAAGCGGCGCACUGGACCACAUCUGACGCUGAGGCGCGAAAGCGUGGGGAGCAAACAGG
rnacentral:rRNA from 1 species